rnacentral:rRNA from 1 species
CCCUUAGACGUUCUGGGCCGCACGCGCGCUACACUGACGAAGGCAACGAGCUACUCUUCACCGAAAGGUGUGGGUAAUCUUUUGAAACUUCGUCGUGCUGGGGAUAGAUCCUUGCAAUUUUUGAUCUUAAACGAGGAAUUCCUAGUAAGCACAAGUCAUCAGCUUGUGUUGAUUACGUCCCUGCCCUUUGUACACACCGCCCGUCGCUCCUACCGAUUGAAUGUUCCGGUGAGUUCUUCGGACUGCGCGGUCUGCAGUUUCUGCGUUCCGUGCGGAAAGUUGCGCAAACCUUAACAUUUAGAGGAAGGAGAAGUCGUAACA